CCUUGGCCCAAGGAUCCAGAGGGCAGUUAACUGUGACAGCAGCUUGACUGAGAGAAGGAAGAGAGAUAGAAAGUCUAUCUUGGAGGAACUGUGUUGGUGGCUUUAUUGAUGGUGGCCCCUCAGUGGCUGGCUCCAUGGCAGGUUCUACAGACAUUUGUUGACUUGGCAGAGAAAGACAGAGAGGGAGAGAGUAAGCUCCCAACAGGUGUUUGCGCUGAAAGGAGCUAAAGAGAGCAAACCUUGAAACCUGGUAGCGUCACAAGAUGGAAGGAAAUGGUCCCUGAAUGACUGUAUGGAGCUGUCUGCCAAGUAGGAACAUGGACAUUUAUCACAGACUCUGGGGGAAGCUGGCUGCCAUGACACAUGGGGCUGCCAUGACAGCCCCACAGAGACACCCCUGUGGCCAGGACUGAGGUCUCCUGACAGCAGACCUGUUGGUGAGCCUGGAAAUCUUGGAGGCCCAGCUGAUGGUGUGCAGACAGUCUGAGAGAUCUUGUGCUAGAGCUACAAGGCAAAGCUGCUCCUGGACUCCCAACUCACAGAAACUACACUGGGUUCCAGUUGAACUUAUCCAGUUCCUUCGAGGUUAUCAUCACUCGCUCUGCUCUGGUUUUCAUCGUCGCUAUCAAGGAGUUGGCUGCUCGUCUAACUGUUGAUUUCUUGGAGGUGCGUAGGACUUAAUUAUAACCAAAUGAUCAAACUUCCUCUGAUAAUUUCUUUGAUCUUGCCUUCCAGAAAUCAGACCUACAAUUAA